rnacentral:snRNA from 1 species
GUGCUCACUUCAGCAGCACAUAUACUGAAACUGGAACUAUACAGAGAAGAUUAGCAUGGCCCCUGCCAAGGAUGACACACAAAUUCAUGAAGUUUUCUAUAUUUUU